CACACAGCGAGUGGCGCACUUGCUAAAGGUGGGAUACUUCACGAUCUGGGAGAAAUCUCAGUGCCACCAGCGAGACAGAGCGAGCAUAUAUCUACGAAGCUAGGUCGGCUUUCCAGGCCGAACACGAUCGAGGAAUUCGUCGUAAAAGACGAAAAAUAAUUAAACGAGAAAGAGCGAGAGAGAUAUACAGGGAUGUUUAAAAGAGAAAAAAGAUCUGAGAGGGAAAGAAAAAUGCAGGAGAGAUUUAUUAUCGAGCACGAAAAUAGGAAGAAAAUAGAAGCUAGUCGGACUCAUUCGUGUACGUACACAUGCAAAGAGGGGAACCUGCCGUUGACUUCUGGCGACUGUGGGACAAAGAGAAAAUGUUACGCAGUACGAGCAACAUGUGAGUAAAAUAGCAUCAAUUUAUACAUUCAAAACUAGUCAAAACUGUACUUCUCGUAUAAUACCAUCCGCAUAUUUUAAAGACAGUGUCCUAUAAAUACGUGAAGUAUCGUAAAGUUCCUGAAACCCGAAGCUAUUAUACAGGGUGUAUCAAAAAAAGCGCAAUCCUCGACUGAAAUGUAAAUUGCUAAACAAAUAAUACACGAAAACGUUAAAGUUUACAUUCAUUUUAAAGCGUAGCCAUUCAGCUUUCUAACAGUGGGU